rnacentral:snRNA from 1 species
GUGCUUGUUUCAGCAGCACAUAUACUAAAAUUGGAACGAUACAGAGAUUAGCAUGGCCCCUGUGCAAGGAUGACACGCAAAUUCGUGAAGUGUAAAUAAACUAU